UUUGUAAUGGUGCAGUGGGUAGCACUGUCGCCUUACAUCAAGAAGGUCAUGGGUUCAAAUCUCAUUUUAGGAC
rnacentral:tRNA from 1 species